CCCGGGCAACGUGGGAAUGGCAGUCGGCUUCCUGCUCUAGGGGACGGUGUCCCUGCCCGCGGGAGGGGAGUUGGAAUGAGGUGGGUGAAUAGCUGUCAGGAAUAGCACGGAUUUCGGCAGGAUGCUAGGAAAAGCUCUGCUUUAAACAGAGGAUCGCCAUACACCUCAGCGUUGCAGGAUCAGGCUCCAAGUGACAAGUGCCAAGGAAGAUAAAGGCUCCGCUGCACUUUCCUGCUGGAGAAGUGUGUGGGUUUCAUGUCCAGCUUUCUGCCUGCAGGUUUUAAGUGGAAAGACAUGAAUUGUGGUCCUUACCAGUAGCUGAUCCUGUUCAGCGUGUGCAGAGCUGUGACCAAGAAUAUCAAUAAAGUGUUAUGUCUGUGAGGGAUUUCUUUCCUU
rnacentral:lncRNA from 1 species